GGACGCCACACGCUCCCGGAAGUGGGAGGUGUCCGCUCGAGUUUGUGUGGCCGCCGCCGCGGGAACGCGAGCCCGGUAAUUUUUCAACGGAGAAAGGCGAGGCUUUCGGGCUUGGCCGAGUGAGAGUGAGCGAGUGUCGGGCUCCGGCAGCUCUCUCCUUACGUGACAGCCGGCAUGGAGCAUGAGCGGAGCAAACAGCCUGGCAGCGAGGCCGUGGCUCCCGCGCGGCUGGAGUCUCCCCGGUCCGAGUGUGGGGAGGAGCCGCGGAACCCGAAUCCUGAGAAAAAGCAACAAUGUAGAUUUGAUGGCCAAGAAACCAAAGGAUCUAACUUCAUUACCUCCAGUGCAAGUGAUUUCAGUGACCCAGUUUACAAAGAGAUUGCUAUUACGAAUGGAUGCAUUAAUAGAAUGAGUAAGGAAGAACUCAGAGCUAAGCUUUCAGAAUUCAAGCUUGAAACCAGAGGAGUAAAGGAUGUGCUAAAGAAAAGGCUGAAAAACUAUUACAAGAAGCAGAAGCUGAUGUUGAAAGAGGGCAAUUGUGCUGACAGUUACUAUGACUACAUUUGUAUCAUUGAUUUUGAAGCCACUUGUGAAGAGGGUAACCCACCUGAGUUUAUACAUGAAAUAAUUGAAUUUCCUGUGGUUUUACUGAAUACCCAUACCUUAGAAAUAGAAGAUACAUUUCAGCAGUAUGUGAGACCAGAGAUUAACACCCAACUUUCUGAUUUCUGCAUCAACCUAACUGGGAUUACUCAGGAUCAGGUAGACAGAGCUGAUACCUUCCCUCAGGUACUAAAAAAAGUAAUUGACUGGAUGAAAUCGAAGGAGUUAGGAACAAAGUAUAAAUAUUGCAUAUUGACAGAUGGUUCGUGGGAUAUGAGUAAGUUCCUGAACAUUCAGUGCCGGCUAAGCAGGCUCAAAUAUCCUCCUUUUGCUAAAAAGUGGAUCAAUAUUCGAAAGUCAUAUGGGAACUUUUACAAGGUUCCUAGAAGCCAAACCAAAUUAACAAUAAUGCUUGAAAAGCUAGGAAUGGAUUAUGAUGGGAGGCCUCACAGUGGUCUUGACGACUCUAAGAACAUUGCCCGAAUAGCAGUUCGAAUGCUUCAAGAUGGAUGUGAACUCCGAAUUAAUGAGAAAAUGCAUGCAGGACAGCUAAUGAGUGUGUCUUCUUCGUUGCCAAUAGAGGGCACUCCAGCUCCACAAAUGCCACAUUCUAGAAAAUAACAACAUUUUUGCCCUUUGCCCAUGGAUCAUUCACUCUAACUGGAGUUGCUACAAAGAGUAUAGGGCCAUAUAUCUGCCUGGUGCACCUGUCAUCUCUACAAGGCCCUGGACUAGUUUGCUGUAGCCUCUGGAAAGAGAAGAGUUGGCUACCGACUCCUUGCCAUUGACGUUUCAUCUCAUUUGUCGGAAUAGCGUGAAGACCUAGAUUUUAAACCUGUUCUGGACUCUCACCCUGACCCACAGAACCUGCAUCAUCUGCUUGGGUAACACCGAACCAGAUUUCACCUGAUCCUUCUGAACUGAGGGAGGGGAAUAUCACAAAAGCACCAGAACACUAGCGUCCCAGAGGCCUGAUGGGAUUUCCUGUACCAGAACGACUUGGACAGAGAAAGAGCCUCAUUGUUCAGAGCCAGCAGUUGGCGGUGAAGGGCCAGGAUCCUGGAUCAUUGUUAAUGUUUUCGACCCCAAGGAAAAUGACCGUCAUGCCUCCUCAUCUUACUGCUGGCCAAGUUCGAGUCCAGCGGAGGGCCUGAUGCUACGGAGACACAUCGGUGGAUCCCAGCUUUUAUGACCCAGACCAUUCUCCAAGAAGCAGUGUACCAAACUCUGGUUUCAUGGAAGCUCUUCUGACCCUCUACUCAGGAAUUCCCCGAUGGACUGUGACAGGGCUGUCCAUCACCCACAAGUCCUCCUAGCAGUGGAGAUGUACGAGUUACUGCCGUUAACCAAUAUCCGGAGGCAGACGAUCCUCCCCGGGACAUAGCGUCAGAAGGUCAAUAGUCACCCAACGCUACGACACAAUGCCUACAUCACUUCCUUUCGUUGAGUAGACAUUUAAUCAGCUCGCAUCAUCACAAGAGAAGGCUGCACCAGCUGUUACUGUUUGGUGAUUCAGGGAACCUGCAGACCUGACUGUGUGUCCUGGGACCCAGAGACAAGGUUGCCAGAAUUUCCGCGGGGGAAGCCAGAGAACACAGGAGAAGACACCGUCUGAGCUGAGGCCCGCGUGAUGAGAAGUUGCCAACCGCUUGGUUACUCGGGAAAGAGUCCUCCACGCAGAGGGAACAGCGGCAAGAGCAGGGGCCCAGAGCGUCGAACCUGCAUUUUGACCUCCAGAGUCUGAAUCCCAGUGGAGGCUUCGGGGAUCUAGAAGCUGUUACUCCAGAGCCUUGCCCGGCCUUGGCCAAGUGGAAAGGACAUCUUCUCCUCUGUUAACUCGACAUCUUCAGGAAUGGCAGCGGCCACUGGAGCUCUCUCAUUCAGACACAAGCUCCCGUGAAAGCAAAGAGAAGGCAGUUUCGCUGCAGGGCACCCCACAGCUGUGCUUUCUAGUAUUUGCCCAAAUGGCUUCCUCCAGUAACAGCGAUCACCAAAGCUCUCUGUGUUGAAGCAAUUCAGGAGAAAGACAGAGGUGGAGGAAGGAACCAGCCCUCCCACACCGAGUUCCUGGUGCCUCCUGAGUGUCCACUGCCUAAAAGGGACUGAUUGGCAAACGGGCCCUUCUUACCAGGCCUUGGACAGAGGCUCACACCGAUUCGGGCCUGAAGUGCCGGCCAACUUUGGAAAUUAGAGCAGGUAUUGUGUGCGCGCUGGGAGUAAGUACAUGAGUUGGUUUGUGAGGUGUGGAAAGCCAAUUUGCUAAUGGCACAGUCUUCCAUGUAACUCCAGCCAAGCAGAAAGCAAUGUAGGAAAAACAAUCUUCAAGAUAAGUAUUCAGUGAGGUUUCACGGGAGCCAAGGAAGAAUAACAACUCCAACCGCUACCUUCUCCCGGACUCUCUCUGGCCGACCAGGCCCCUGAGGGGAGGAAGAGGAGAGGUCACUCUAGUGCAUGGCCUGUGGGACUUAGAGAUUGAAACUGACCUUUUGAGGGAACAGGGCCAGGAGCUAGAAGCCGGCAGAGAUUCCUGAGACGGGCUCCUCUGCUUUCCAGAGGAUUCCUGUCUCAGCUCAGUGAGCCACAGCAAGCUGCUGCUGGGUGGUCAAAUGUCAGAAAAUGGGCUGAAAGUCAGUCUGGGUGCGAGACAAGACUUUCAGUUGAUAGAGUAUGUGGAGAUCUUCCUGAGUCAUUUCCUUCCUAAUUAGCUGUAAAAAGAAGGGACAAAGGUCAGCUUUUAAUUAUGUUAAGGUCUCAAAAGUUCUGAGAUCAGUUUAUUCAUGUAGACGUGUGGGCUGAUCAUCCAACAUAUAGAAAACUUUUUGUUUUAGAUUUGCCACCUGAAAAGUUAUAAAACAAUGUUAC